ACCCAACAUGGACGAGGCAGAAAAGUACCAGCAGAGAGUGCAGGCUAUAGAGGACAAGCGACGUAAGCAGCAGGACGACGAGAAAGCAAGGAGGGAGAUGGAGGAGGGGUGGCUGACGCAGGCCCAGCGCAAGCGGAAGUCCUUGAGGGACCAGUGGCUGAGCGAGAACCCCCAGCCUGUCCCUGGGCGCAGCGCUGAGAACUACACAGAGGAGUUGCCAACUGAAGAGGAUAUAGUGGAGGUCAUUGAAUCCACAAGCUACACAGUCACCAAUGCCCAGAACCACAGCCAGAGUGACAUUGAAGAGGGUGGGAUACAAGACAUCAUCAGAGCUGCUGGGGGUCAGCUCCCUGGGCCAGUAAUGGAGAGGGUUCUGCAUGAGAAUGGACUGGAAGGUCGAUCAGUGCUGGGGAUGGUUACAGUGCAGGUGGAGAGGGAUUCAAAGACAGGGGUCACCAAGAUCAGGUCUGUGGUGCCCGUGUCUGGAGCACCCAGGGCCUUGGGGGAGACGGUGUUCAAUGACAGCAGGAAGAGCGUCCACCACGUCGGCGGGGCAGAAGGGCAGCCUUCUGCUGAGGAGCUGGGACAGCUCCUUAGUGUCAUCAACGAUGUCGGGAUGCAAGUGCUGCUGGAUGAGAUCCCAGUUGUACCACAACAGAAGGCAGAGGAGAAGAUAGAGGUUGGUGGUGGGAUGGAAGAGGAGGUGGACAAUGUGGAGGACCCUGCCGCACCUACAACCCUGGGCUACACUGAGGAAGAGGUUGAGGUUGUGGAGCAUGAGGAUGAUGAGAUGGACGAGGAGGUAGAAAUAGGAGUGGUGGAAAUUGUGGAGGGCCCUACCCGACUGACCGACCUGGGCUACGCUGAGGAAAAGGUUGAGGAUCUGGGCUGUGAGGAUGAUGAGAUGGACAAGGAGACAGGAGUAGGUCAGGUAGACCUUGUGGAGGGCACUGUCACACUGACCUUCCUGGGCUACACUGAGGUAAAGUCAGAGAGGGAGGGUCUGGGCCAUGAGGAUGAUAGAGAGUUGGUGGAGGUGGAGCGGGUGAUCAUUUCUGACGCGGGUGAGGAGGAGAUUGUUCUCCAGUCUCCUGUUCUUGGGUCUGAGACUGAACCCUUUCUGGGCUACACUGAGCAAAAGGUUGAGGCUGUGGGGCAUGAGGAUGAUGAGGAGGACGUGAGUGGAUUGGUUGUCUUUGUGGAGGGCCCUGUCCCACCUGUCAUCCUGGGCUACACUCGGGAAGAGGUUGAGGAUCUGGGACAUGAGGAUGAUCCCCCCAGACCAACCCCACGCUACAGAGCCGAGGAAACAGGAAAGAGGGCAUCCAAACACAAUACCAAGUGCUGCUCUAUCAUGUGAUUCUGCACACCCCAUUUCUCUUAGCUAUGCCACUCAUGAUGAAUGGGCUGUAUGCUUGGCCUAAAUCUACAACAUUGUCUAAAUUGCACAGGAUGUGCUCCAGCGUGCCUUUGCUCCUCAUCUAAAAUGUCACUGGUAUCCUCUGAGACUACAGUCCCACAUGGCUUGUGUCAAGGAGUGUUUACUGUUAUCCUCCUCUCUUCAAACAGCUCUGUGAACAGACUCCAGUGUGACUGUUACAAAGCCCUUCUGCCUCCUGCUGGACACAGUUCAGUAAUGCAACUAGGUUUUACUGCCAGAAUCCCAGCAGCACUCAUCUCACACUCCUCUGGAUUGGUUGUAUCAGCCAAAAAAAGUACUCAGCACUAUGUCCCCUAGGAAUGAAGACUAUGAAGAAUAGAUGAAGAAUACAACAACCACUGAUCUGUUCCUUUUUGGAAAUAGAUUUUUAAAUAUUAAUCUUAGAAAUGCCCGAUGUGCCUUUUUCAAUGGCACCUCUUUUGUUCAAAUCAAAUCAAAUGUAUUUAUAUAGCCCUUCUUACAUCAGCUGAUAUCUCAAAGUGCUGUACAGAAACCCAGCCUAAAACCCCAAACAGCAAGCAAUGCAGGUGUAGAAGCACUUUUAGAGUCUCCUCAUCAGUAAUACAAAUGUUAUGGUUAUGAAUAUGAUAUUGUAUUCCGUCAUUGACCAAAACAGUCUGUUAAAGAAGGGUUGGUUGCCAUUACAUCUAUUCAGUGCGAUUUGUAUUUGUAAGUGUGUUUGGUAGUUGAAUUUUGAUUUAGCCAUGUCUGUUAAUGAAGGUGGAUAAAAACUGGAAUGUGUGUGUGAUUAUCAAAACAAAAUAUAUUUCAUAUUCUUAAGAUUUUUGUUUGUCUCGGUCUUUCCUUUUGAUCAUCAGUAGCAACGUUCCUGUCAGGACGUUCAUGUAUAGCACUCUUUAUUGCAAAUGAGCUGUGACAUACCAUUAAAGACACGCUAGGGAACUUUGCCGUCUACAAAGUAUUUUUCUUCCCUCUCGCUUUGGGCUGGAUGUGUCAAUGUGUAGUUCAUACAUACUUAAUAUAUGAGCAGAAUUACCACAAUUAGCCAUGAAAUCCCUAGUUUAAAAGAUAUGCUAUUUUUCUGGAAGAUGUGCUAUGCCAUUUUCCCUAAGAUUUUCCCCACGUGGGCCAGCCCUGUAGCAAUUCGAUGUGUAGUCAAUGAGCUUCAGUCCCUUCGCCUUUUGAGUGACAGGCAGUCUCACCUCUCACGUGUCUCAGCAGCAGCCUAGCAGCAUCAUUCAGACAGAAGCCUGGGCACAGCCACGACACUGCAAACAGGUGGGUCUCUUUCUUAUUAUUCAUUUUACAGUACCUUGCCGUAUUCUGAUAUUAUACUGUUAGUUACCAACGUUUUGUCAUUAAUAGCACUCACAGAUGCAUAUGAUUCAUUUACAUUUCAUUUCCAUAACCCAUUUAGUUUUCAUAAACAAAUAAUAAUGGUUUUGAACAGUAUGGCUGUUAUUAUUGAUCACAAAGUAACAACUCUUGAAAGAAGCGUCUAGCUUUACUUUAAUAUAGAUAUAUACAGCCUACAGUUUAUUGCCACGAAAAGGCUUUAAAUAUUCCAGAUUUCAGGAUAUUUGAUAUGUCAUGAGGUGAUAUGUAUAAUUAAUUGUGGUUUUCAAGGAAGAGCUUGAAUUUGUAUCACUGAGAAAUGUUUGGUUGACUUCCUCUUAAUGGAGGAGAUAAGCUCAUUAAAUAUCAUUAAUAUUUUGCGUUGCGAUGCAAUCACUUCAUACAUAGUGUGGCUGGCUUUUUGAUAAUCCUGGACAGGAGUAUGGCUAUAAGCCUGAGGGUAAAUAUAGACAUAUAAAUCUCACCUGCACCUGAGGUGACUACAGGUGUAGGAAUUUCAUUUCAUCACUCUUUUGUUGCUGAGAAUUUUCCUGCACGGCAGGAAACGCAAACUUGUAGUGUUUUUAAAAGGCUUCUAAAGUUUGUAAUUUCCACUUUGAAAUUUCAGACUUGAUUUUCCCUAACAAAAAAUGUAUCAACCCCUAUAAAAAUGGCCAUUAAUUAUAAUCCAGACAAUAAUUCCCAUUUUCUGUUGCUGCAUGAUUAUUUUCCUGCUGUCUUAAAAUGAAGAUCAUGCAUCUGUAGAUUACAUGGGAGCAUUGGUAAUUAGACAUGAUGACAGACAGAACUGCACAUCCUCAAUGACAAUAACGGUUCUGAUCAGUUCGCCAUUAUGCAUCGUACAAAAUCUGGAGUCAUCUUAACAGGUGUGGUGUCUGGAGACAUUCACGCAAAUGACAUACAGUAAACAUACAUUUUCAUAAUGUGGUUUACUGGUUCUCACAGAUACAGCUCUCUAAAUUGGCUGGAAUUUAAAUUAGUAUGUUGUCAUGAAGUCAAUGUUUUGAGCUUAAGACUGAAAGUGAUAUGGCUCUGGAGUAGAAGGCUGUGAAGGAGGCUCCUGUAGCAGAUGCAUAGUGGAUGUGCCAGACAGUGAAAAGCUGAUUACUCUUCCCCCUAGUAAGCAGAACUCUGCUCAGGUCAACUACAUCACCAUUGUAGUGUCAGCUAGUAAAUAUGUCAGGUGAGAGAGAACAGAAUGCACUACAACUUUAAGAUAAUUUCCUUCAUUUUAAAGCUUAAAAGGUGAAGUUGCAAUUUUUUUGUACAUAUUUUUUAAAUCCAAGUUCCGUGUUUUAGUGACAUGACAUGUUUUAGUGACAUCACAUGUUUUAGUGACAUCACAUGUUUUAGUGACAUGACAUGUUUUAGUGACAUCACAUUAUGCCAGGCCAAAGCUGGCAUAAUGACCGUCAUCCUUUCUUUCAACGUUCAGCAUUCCUCAAAAGAGGAACAGAUUCACAAACAUUUACUUUAUUGUCCUAUUUCUGCUGGUAUUACCUGACAUCUAUGACAUUGUUAUAAAAAUUGCAAUUUUUAGUACACACUUUAAAGACCAACACAUUUCGUAAUUAUUUGGUUUACUGAAUGGUAGACCACCUAAGCCUAGUGUUGCAUGUUUUUGAAGGGGCUCAAAUAACAUGCCUCUAAUUGCAAAGUCAUUAACACUAUUUUUCAGAUUGUGAGACUGAAACCAAAGACAGUGAAAGGAGAACAAAGAAAAUAUUUAAAGGUGUGAAGUUCAAAUUA
rnacentral:lncRNA from 1 species